CAAGAAGAGCAGACUGGUCCGUGGUGAUGUUGCUUUGUGCUGCACCUACUAUGCCUAUAGAACUGUACUGCAGGUGCACCACCAGCAAGAAGUGCCAAUCUAUAAAGGCAGAACAUUUUGCCAAAGAGUGGGGCACAUGAUUGCACCCUCUCGGGGAAGAAAUUCGCUACUAGCCAAAUGCAACGACUUAAGACGGUAGACCGUAGACUUGUAAUGAAGGAAGAAUGGACAAUUGGGCAUCUGUUUCCAAGCAUCUGUCUUCAUAAAUGUACAACAACGUGCUAACGGGACUUAAAUUCAUCGCAUCAGGUUAUGCUGGCAGACAAUACUUCCAUUCAUCUCAACAUCUACAAAUCCUUAUCAGGGAGGGCCUAAGCACAGGCGGGCAAGGCGGUUGCCUAGGGCCUCCAAUUUUUAUAAACCAUAUGUAUGUUGCUUCUUUUUUUUUUUUUUUUGAGAAAUUCUAUGAUUGCAUUCAUAAUUCAGCCAAAAAAGCCACUAGUCACAAAGGGCCAACACAAACUAGCCACAAAAGGGUCAUUACAAUAACGGAGCAAUCUAAUAUCAAAAUUAAGAAAAUCAGGUAUGU